GUCCUGUUGAAGAACUCUGUGUUGAUCUAGUGGUUUCCCCUGCUGGGUUGCUUGGAGGAAGUGCUGCUGCUGCUGCUUGAUCUGAAAGCGUGCUGAGAUUCUGUUCUUCAAGCUGAGACCAAGCAACUGACAGCUGAAUGGAAACACGGCUUGCUGUGAGUGAAGGGGAUUUCCAACGAAUUUGGCCUUCCUGUUUAG